CCUACGGGAGGCAGCAGUGAGGAAUAUUGGUCAAUGGGCGGAAGCCUGAACCAGCCAAGUAGCGUGCAGGAUGACGGCCCUACGGGUUGUAAACUGCUUUUAUACGGGAAUAACGCGCCUUACGUGUAGGGCUUUGCAUGUACCGUAUGAAUAAGGACCGGCUAAUUCCGUGCCAGCAGCCGCGGUAAUACGGAAGGUCCGGGCGUUAUCCGGAUUUAUUGGGUUUAAAGGGAGCGUAGGCCGCAUGUCAAGCGUGCUGUGAAAUGUCCGGGCUCAACCCGGGCCUUGCAGCGCGGACUGGCGUGCUUGAGGCCGCGGAAAGGAGGGGGGAUUCGUCGUGUAGGGGUGAAAUGCUUAGGUAUG
rnacentral:rRNA from 1 species